rnacentral:rRNA from 1 species
AGUGAACGCUGGCGGUAGGCCUAACACAUGCAAGUCGAACGGCAGCACAGUAAGAGCUUGCUCUUACGGGUUGCGAGUGGCGGACGGGUGAGGAAUACAUCGUAAUCUACUUUUUCGUGUGGGUUAACGUAGGGAAACUUACUCUAAUACCGCAUACGACCUACCGUUGUAAGCAUUGGAUCUUCUGACCUUGCGCGAUUGAAUGAGCCGAUGUGGGAUUAGCUAGUUGGCGGGUUAAUUGCCCACCAAGUCGACGAUCCGUAGCUGGUCUGAGAGGAGGAUCAGCGACGCGGGAAGUGAGACAGGGUCCAGACUCCUACGGGAGGCAGCAGUGGGGAAUAUUGGACAAUGGGCGGAAGCAUGAUACAGCCAUACCGCGUGGGUGAAGAAGGCCUUCGGGUUGUAAAGACCUUUUGUUGGGAAAGAAAAGCAGCAGGUUAAUACGAAGCUGUAGUGACGGUAACCAAAGAAUAAGCACCGGCUAACUUCGUG